rnacentral:misc_RNA from 1 species
GAUGAAGAACGUAGCGAAAUGCGAUACUUGGUGUGAAUUGCAGAAUCCCGUGAACCAUCGAGUCUUUGAACGCAAGUUGCGCCCGAAGCCAUUAGGCCGAGGGCACGCCUGCCUGGGCGUCACACGUCGUUGCCCCCCCAUCUACUCCUUCGGGAUUGCGGGGGGCGGAUGAUGGUCUCCCGUGCGCCUCGCCGCGCGGUUGGCAUAAAUGCCAAGUCCUCGGCGACGCACGCCACGACAAUCGGUGGUUGCGAAACCUCGGUUGCCCGUCGUGUGCGGUCGUCGCGCAUCGAGGGCUCGAAAAAAUUGCCGGGUUCCGGCUCGGCUUUCAACGCGACCCCAGGUCAGGCGGGGUUACCCGCUGAAUUUAAGCAUAUCAAUAAGCGGAGGA